CAGCAGCCGCGGUAAUACGAAGGGUGCAAGCGUUACUCGGAAUUACUGGGCGUAAAGCGUGCGUAGGCGGUCUGUUAAGUCCGUUGUGAAAGCCCUGGGCUCAACCUGGGAAUUGCAGUGGAUACUGGCGGGCUAGAGUGCGGUAGAGGAUGGUGGAAUUCCCGGUGUAGCGGUGAAAUGCGUAGAGAUCGGGAGGAACACCCGUGGCGAAGGCGGCCAUCUGGACGGUAACUGACGCUGAGACGCGAAAGCGUGGGGAGCAAACAGGAUUAGAUACCCUGGUAGUCCACGCCGUAAACGAUGAGUGCUAGGUGUCGUGGGUAUUGACCCCCGCGGUGCCGAAGCUAACGCAUUAAGCACUCCGCCUGGGAAGUACGGUCGCAAGACUAAAACUCAAAG
rnacentral:rRNA from 1 species